CAAUGUGGAUGGAAUUCCAAUCCUGGGAUGACCUGAGGUCUGCCAGCUACCCACUCCCUGGGUCCUUACAAACCCCCCACAUAAGCCUUCUCUUUCUUGAUGGGUAGAAGCAGGCUUGUUGGUGGAAGAGGUGGAGGGACAGAUUUCAACUGGGCCCAAAUGAGGACUUCAUAGAAAGCACCAGCACUGCCACUCCAGGACCAGAGCAUUUCACUCCCCUUCGCCCUACUCUAGUCUGCCAGCAGAGAUCUGGAAAGCACCAGGGUCACACUGUCUCUCCCUCAAAACAACAACAACAACAACA